UUUACAAUAAAACUUUGCUAUUAAAUUUAUGUAUUUGAAAUGUAAAUAACGUGCUUCAUGUUUUUCGAAAGCUAUGGGAAAUGUCAAGUUAUAAUAUUAUAAAGUGAAUUAUUCAAAGAAAAGAAUAAUAGUUUAAAACUUAAAACUGUUGGGAAAAGUACACCGGAUAUUUCGCCUAAGUGAUAAAAAUAGACACUUCGUUUAUUAUGUAAGGAAAGAUUUUAUUACUUUUUUCAUUUUUCAUACUGAUGUACAUGUAUUUGCCUAACACUUAGGCGAACCAAUAGCUUGAUCACACAAAACAACGCUUAUGCUAAGUAACUUGUAAUUUGGUACAUUUGCAGCAGAUAAUCAUAUUACUUUGCAAAAUUAUAUGAAUUAUUAUCUUUAUUCAUAUAUUGUAUAAUUACGGAAGACGUCUACGUACUCUUUCAACAACACUCACAUAUAUGGGUAUUUAUAUCAUUUCCUUUAGUUUUAAGAUAUAUAAAAAACAGAUUCAUAUUUGAAAAAUAUUAACAAUUAUUUCUACCUAUGUCCGUAAAAUCAUCACGUGUGUGUGUGCAGACACAUUACUGUGAGCAAGGUUUAAAAAAGUACACAUACCUAAUAAAUUUCUCACUAAUUAGCACAGUACUCACGUUUAAGUCCACUAAAAACUGAAAGUUUUAUUUUACAAAUGACUGUUAUAAUGGAUAUUUAACGCAGCUCUACAAACACAGUUAAAUUAUAUAUUUCGCAAAGUUAAAUUCAUUUGAUGAGGAUUUUCUAUAUUUUACGUAGUUUAAUUUAGUGAAAGAUGCAAAUUGAAUAUUUUGAAAAGUGCAUUUCUCGUUUAGGUUAAUUCAUUUGAUAUUGAGAAAGAAUGCACAAACCCGUUUGUGAUUACAUGUUGUUUGCAAACGAAACUUAUUUGAUUCUGAUUCAUUUUUCAGUGGUACAGUACACAUUAUACAUGAAGGGAACAUAUGUAACAUUUAUUUUUGUUUAACUUAAUUUACGUUUCUAUAAGUUCAGUGUUGAUACUUACACAAUCAUUUGAAUUCCUAAGUUCUACUGCAGUUAGUUUUGUAGUAGUUAUAGUAAACGUAGAAAAUCACUCGGUGAGAUAUAUUAUUCCCAUUCUUUCAAUCACCAGUCCUUGACUAUAUCCGUCAAACAGUUGGCUGUUUGGUGUGGUUUUGUCUUUUCCAGCUCUAUUCUUUAAACAAUAACGUAAUAAUUGUGAAAUGUAAACUGUGAUAUUGUUAAUAAUUGUGAAAUGUAAACUGUGUUGCAUAAUACCGUCACAGUUUCAGUUUCCUUUGUUUAAAACGAAAGCAAAUCAGGUUGAGUUAAAACAAAAUGCUAGUUAACAAUUAAUCGUAAUUGCAUUUGUAUAUUUCGAUAUAGAAAUAUAAUAUAUUUUACCUGUAGAUUCUAUCAUAAUUUAUAGAAGAUUAAUGAUACUAGUUCGGAAGCAAAAUCGAGUAAGAGCUUUUAAGAAAGGUUUAUUCUAUCUAUGUUUGUCGUCACUGUUAAAUACUUUUUUUUAUUUGAUGUCAGUUUUAUACGGAAAGAUCAAAGGAGAGGUAGGCAGUACUUCAUGUUCACCUGUAUAAUUAUUAUAUUAUUAUUAUUAUUUUACCAGAUUUAUAUAGCAUGAUAAACACGUUCAAAGGCGCUUUACAUAUAGCAAACACAGUCACACAGGGUGCGAAAUUCAUCCUCUACUAGUACAGACACAGAGCGAUCUGGCCAGAGGGACAGAGUGAGAUAAAGCCCCAAGAACAGAUAGAGAAAAAUCCUUUUUAGUUACUAAUUUGUCCGGCUAACUUAGCAUAGCCCUUUGCGAAUAGACAGUCUGGUUCUUUAACGUGCCCGGUGUAUAGCACCGAUACACGCGAAGCCGUCUUUCCUGGGAAGAACCAGUACAGGCCUCUAAGGUAGAUGGGAGACACGCAAGAGCAUCUCAGAAUUUCCAGUGCCUGGACCGGGAUUCGACCCCCGGACCUCUGGAUUGACAGUCAAGCGUGUUACCACUAGACCACCGGCCCACCUAAUUAUCCCUUUAGUUCUAGGAUGAUAUAUGUGUGAGCAUUUAGUUGCCUAGACAAUUGAAAUUGGUAUGUUAAUUAACCUAUGUAAUGGUUAUGUUAUUACUAUUCUAGCUUUUUUCUAACUUUAUUAUAAUACCGGCUUUUUUCUUUUUUCUACAAAAUUCGAAUAAACAUUGUCAUUCUCCACUUUGUAAACGUUUCUAUAAUAUACGGUAUCAAUCCUCGAUGAAAAGAAAUAACAAUAUGAACAUAGAUCUUCGUUAGUUUCAACUCUGUCUGUGAUUCUUUUUAGAAUGAAAGCAGUUACAGGUGACAGUGUGUUGAGUGUUGCAGAUAUCAGUGUGGAUAUAGGACCGGCAAAGAUUCUGCAUCAUGUGAGUUUUUCAACUUGUAAUGGAGACGUCCUUGCUGUAAUGGGCCCGACAGGGUCUGGAAAGACAACAGUACUCAAUGCAAUAGCUGGACGUCAACCGCUUUCUACAGGAAACAUUUAUCUUUCUGGACAAAAAAUUCAACAAAAGACUGCGCCGACAACUUGGUUUCGUCCUUCCUCAAGAUGUUUUCUUUUCAGACCUUACGUUAUGGGAAACAUUAUAUUUUACAGCUCUCAUGAUCAUCAAUUUUCAACAGUGGAAUCAAUAUUAUUGUAACCAAUAGCACAGAAGUGAACAAACCUCGAAUAUGUUUAAUGUUGGGAGGAAGACCCCGAAUGCCUUCGUCAGACAGAACUUUAGCCAUGAACUGGUACCUGGAUAAAGUCAUGAAUUGUUCAUAAAGCCAGCAUGAUGGCUUACUCUUAUUAAAAAAUAGACGCCUCGUGCGGGGUUUCGAACAUGCAAGUAGGAGCGGAUUCAAGCUACAUACCAUAGCUCAAAGAUCAUUGACUGAGUCAGAAGAGGCUCAGUUAAACUUCUAUGAAGAAAACAAAAGUCAGAGGAAGGUUGCAGAGCAGCAAGUGAAAACCCUUGCUGUGCAAGAGGAGUUUUUUAAGUUGGCAACCAAGAUACUGGCAGAAAAGAGUGAUUUGUCCGGCAUCCUGGAUCUUUUUUACAGAACAAUAAAAAGAGGACAGCAUAUAAAGGAGGAUGAAAUUCAAUGUACAAAGUUGAAAACUGAGAUAUUGUAAAGUAAAUCUUGUAGCACA